GAUUAACGCUGGCGGCGUGCCUAACACAUGCAAGUCGAGCGGCAGCGAGUUUUACACUGACUUCUGGAAGCUUCUAGUUGAAAGAGAAGAUUUAUUCAAGAAUUUUGUGUAAAAUGUCGGCGAGCGGCGGACGGCUGAGUAACGCGUGGGAACGUACCCCAAAGUGAGGGAUAACGCAUCGAAAGGUGUGCUAGUACCGCAUAUGGUCUUCGGAUUAAAGCCUUCGGGCGCUUUGGGAACGGCCUGCGUACGAUUAGAUCGUUGGGGGGGUAAUGGCCUACCAAGGCGUCGAUCGUUAACUGGGUUGAGAGGCUCGUCAGUCAGACUGGAACUGGGACACGGUCCAGACUCUUACGGGAAGCAGCAGUGAGGAAUCUUGCACCAUGGGCGAAAGCCUGAUGGAGCAACGCCGCGUGCAGGAUGAAGGCCUUCGGGUUGUAAACUGCUUUUAUAAGUGAGGAUUAUGACAGUAACUUAUGAAUAAGGAUCGGCUAACUACGUG
rnacentral:rRNA from 1 species